rnacentral:rRNA from 1 species
UACGUAGGGGGCAAGCGUUGUCCGGAAUCAUUGGGCGUAAAGAGCGCGUAGGCGGUCCGGUAAGUCCGCUCUGAAAGUCCGGGGCUCAACCCCGGGAGGCGGGCGGAUACUGCCGGGCUAGAGUCCGGAAGAGGCGAGUGGAAUUCCUGGUGUAGCGGUGAAAUGCGUAGAUAUCGGGAGGAACACCAGUGGCGAAGGCGGCUUCCUGGCCUGUUCUUGACGCUGAGGCGCGAAAGCUAGGGGAGCAAACGGG